GAAAAACGCAAGUGACGUGCCUAACACAUGCAAAUUUAAUAGUUAUUUUUUAACUAUAGUGAAUUGGUGAGUAAUAUAUGAAAAUUUAAUUUUAGAUUAGAAAUAUUCCUAAUAACUUAGGGUUAAUUUCUGAUAAGCGCAUUUGUGCUUUAAAAAGUUAAUACUGUCUAAAAAAAAGUUCAUAUCUGAUUAGCUAGUUAGUAAGGUAAUAGCUUACUAAGGCGAAGAUCAGUAGCUGCCCUGAGAGGGGGAUCGGCCACACUGGGACUGAGACACGGCCCAGACUCCUACGGGAGGCAGCAGUAGGGAAUCUUCCGCAAUGGACGAAAGUCUGACGGAGCAACGCCGCGUGAGUGAUGAAGGCUUUCGGGUCGUAAAACUCUGUUGUUAGGGAAGAACAAGUGCUAGUUGAAUAAGCUGGCACCUUGACGGUACCUAACCAGAAAGCCACGGCUAACUACGUGCCAGCAGCCGCCGUAAUAC
rnacentral:rRNA from 1 species